CUACUCCUACGGGAGGCAGCAGUAGGGAAUCUUCCGCAAUGGGCGAAAGCCUGACGGAGCAAUGCCGCGUGAGUGAUGAAGGUUUUCGGAUCGUAAAGCUCUGUUGCCAGGGAAGAACGCUUGGGAGAGUAACUGCUCUCAAGGUGACGGUACCUGAGAAGAAAGCCCCGGCUAACUACGUGCCAGCAGCCGCGGUAAUACGUAGGGGGCAAGCGUUGUCCGGAAUUAUUGGGCGUAAAGCGCGCGCAGGCGGUCAUUUAAGUCUGGUGUUUAAUCCCGGGGCUCAACCCCGGAUCGCACUGGAAACUGGGUGACUUGAGUGCAGAAGAGGAGAGUGGAAUUCCACGUGUAGCGGUGAAAUGCGUAGAUAUGUGGAGGAACACCAGUGGCGAAGGCGACUCUCUGGGCUGUAACUGACGCUGAGCGCGCUGCUUUCUUAU
rnacentral:rRNA from 1 species